UACGUAGGGCGCAAGCGUUGUCCGGAAUUACUGGGCGUAAAGUGUGCGCAGGCGGCUUCGCAAGUCGAGUGUGAAAUCCCCGAGCUUAACUUGGGAAUUGCGCUCGAAACUACGGAGCUGGAGUGUGGCAGAGGAAGGUGGAAUUCCACGUGUAGCGGUGAAAUGCGUAGAGAUGUGGAGGAACACCGAUGGCGAAGGCAGCCUUCUGGGCCAACACUGACGCUCAUGCACGAAAGCGUGGGGAGCAAACAGG
rnacentral:rRNA from 1 species